rnacentral:rRNA from 1 species
CAGCAGCCGCGGUAAUACGUAGGUGGCAAGCGUUGUCCGGAAUUAUUGGGCGUAAAGGGCUCGCAGGCGGUUUCUUAAGUCUGAUGUGAAAGCCCCCGGCUCAACCGGGGAGGGUCAUUGGAAACUGGGAAACUUGAGUGCAGAAGAGGAGAGUGGAAUUCCACGUGUAGCGGUGAAAUGCGUAGAGAUGUGGAGGAACACCGGUGGCGAAGGCGACUCUCUGGUCUGUAACUGACGCUGAGGAGCGAAAGCGUGGGGAGCGAACAGGAUUAGAGACCCCAGUAGUCCCUGUCUCUUAUAC